UGAGGUUGAGCAUUUUGUCUUUGUGGCCUUGGUUGCAAGUUUGGAAGUUUAUAUACCCCAACACAACGAUCAUGUUCUCCAACUUACUCGAACCUAAUCUGAACAUUAAGAAACAUCCAUAUGCAAUUAUAAGACUUCAUUAAUCAAGCCAAGAACUAACCAAAUCUAGUUAUCUACACAAAAGAAACUCCAAGCAAUCAUUUUAAUAUUUGCUGAUUUUUGGACAGCAGAACAACAACUAUCUGUUUAGCUCACAAUUCAUAAAAUAUGUAUCCAAAAAUAGUAAACUAGAACUUUCUGAAAAUCUUAUAAAGUCCUCUAUAACUUUUGUAUUACCAUCACAACAAGAUUCGACCUUUAGAAAGGUCAAACAGCGCUAAACAUAAAUUCUGUCCAGAUUUGGACAGAAUUCGACUACUUACUUCUAAAAUCCAUAACUGGAGUUUCAGAAAUCCAAAUCAGGUGAUUCUAAACUUUUUAGAAAGCUAAUAGAAUUGUCUACAAUUCAUUUAUAAUCAUCUCAAGGUGAUUCAAUGUGUAUUGAAGUCAGUAAAUACAAACAAACAUUGCUGUCCGGAUUUGGACAGAUUCAGACUCUAUAGUUCAAACAGCUGUAACUUGGUCUCUAGACCACCAAAAAGGGUGCUCCAAAAUUUAAUGGAAAGCUUAAGCAAAGUACUACAAUUCUCUUAUAAUUACUAAGAGCUUAUUCUCAGUUUAACUUGGGCAAACAAGGUCAUUUUCGAAAUCUGUACAGAAUCUGGACAGAUUCUAAAACUGGACUUGGAAAAAUCAUAACUUCUAAACUACAAGACCAAUGGUCAUGAAAUUUUAGCACAAACAAGAUAAAGAAGUUAUCUACAACUUUUAUAUAUAACACUUUCAUAGAAAACAUGAUUUACUUCACUAAACUACCUGCAUACUAAAACUGAACACAGUCCAAACAGCAAGUCCAAAUAGCAAAAAUUCAAUUUAGUUCAUAUUUUGGUUAACCACAGCUUACGAACGCAUCAAUCAAAGCAUUCCUUGCCUAAACAGAACCAUCCUCUGUGUUUUAUAACAUUCAUUUAAUUAUACUUGACAUAUGUACUCUUUAAAGCACUCCUGGUAAAAUCUGCACCUAAUACCUAAACUUCCCCUCAAACAACACUUCUACUAUCCAAUCAUGACGUAAAAAAACAUGGCACACAACCAAAUUAUUUCAUCAUACAUCAAAUACCAUUACAACAAUAAUUAUAUAACCAAAUCAUUUAUUAACUAAGUAGUCGGAGAAACGACUUGGCUCACCACAUCAUGCUCCGACUUGAUUUCAGCAAGAACGAAGACGACCACCAGUUCGAGCAUAUCAUCGAACACCUAAGGAGCGUUGAACUUAACCUUCUUCUCCACCUAAUUCUCCAAGGAUUUUACUCCAUAUCGCACACAUCAACACACAUAAAACCUCACAUCAGCAGGGUAUUAACAAGAACUAGUAAAACAACAAAGGGAUUUAGAGAUCACCAUGGGAGCAGCAGAGGUGGCUGGCCACCAGAAACCAGAGAGGGGCAGCGUCUAUAGAAAAGGGAGGUUGGCAUGGGGAGGGGCUGGUGCUUGCCGCAGGAAUGGAAAAUGGC
rnacentral:lncRNA from 1 species